UCGGGAAUAUUGCACAAUGGAGGAAACUCUGAUGCAGUGACGCCGCGUGCAGGAAGAAGGUUUUCGGAUUGUAAACUGCUUUAGACAGGGAAGAAACAAGACAGUACCUGUAGAAUAAGCUCCGGCUAACUACGUGCCAGCAGCCGCGGUAAUACGUAGGGAGCAAGCGUUAUCCGGAUUUUAUUGGGUGUAAAGGGUGCGUAGACGGGUAAGCAAGUUAGUUGUGAAAUCCCUCGGCUUAACUGAGGAACUGCAACUAAAACUACUUAUCUUGAGUGCAGGAGAGGAAAGUGGAAUUCCUAGUGUAGCGGUGAAAUGCGUAGAUAUUAGGAGGAACACCAGUGGCGAAGGCGACUUUCUGGACUGUAACUGACGUUGAGGCACGAAAGUGUGGGGUAGCAAACAGGAUUAGAUACC
rnacentral:rRNA from 1 species